GGACGUUACUCGCAGAAUAAGCACCGGCUAACUCUGUGCCAGCAGCCGCGGUAAUACAGAGGGUGCGAGCGUUAAUCGGAUUUACUGGGCGUAAAGCGUGCGUAGGCGGCUUCGUAAGUCGGAUGUGAAAUCCCUGAGCUUAACUUAGGGAUUGCAUUCGAUACUGCGAAGCUAGAGUAUGGGAGAGGAUGGUAGAAUUCCAGGUGUAGCGGUGAAAUGCGUAGAGAUCUGGAGGAAUACCGAUGGCGAAGGCAGCCAU
rnacentral:rRNA from 1 species